rnacentral:rRNA from 1 species
AAAACCAAUGCCCUUCGGGGCUCUUUGGUGAUUCAUAAUAACUUAACGAAUCGCAUGGCCUUGUGCCGGCGAUGGUUCAUUCAAAUUUCUGCCCUAUCAACUUUCGAUGGUAGGAUAGUGGCCUACCAUGGUUUCAACGGGUAACGGGGAAUUAGGGUUCUAUUCCGGAGAGGGAGCCUGAGACACGGCUACCACAUCCAAGGAAGGCAGCAGGCGCGCAAAUUACCCAAUCCCGACACGGGGAGGUAGUGACAAUAAAUACUGAUAUAGGGCUCUUUUGGGUCUUGUAAUUGGAAUGAGUACAAUUUAAAUCCCUUAACGAGGAACAAUUGGAGGGCAAGUCUGGUGCCAGCAGCCGCGGUAAUUCCAGCUCCAAUAGCGUAUAUUAAGUUGUUGCAGUUAAAAAGCUCGUAGUUGAACCUUGGGCCUGGCUGGCCGGUCCGCCUCACCGCGUGCACUGGUUCGGCCGGGCCUUUCCUUCUGGGGAGCCGCAUGCCCUUCACUGGGUGUGUCGGGGAACCAGGACUUUUAC